rnacentral:lncRNA from 1 species
AUGAUAGCAAAUUGGAGUCAGUGUUAGCAAGACUCUCCCACUUGGAAAGACAAAAUAGUGUAUAGUCAUUCACACUGUGAACUCUAUUUCCAAGAAGAAAUGCAGAAACUUAACAGGAAAACGGAAAUCCACCAAUUCUCUGAAAGAAGCUGCAUGCUGCAGCCUACAUUGUAAGAAAUCUGACUGCAUUCUAUUAUCCAACUGGUCACCAGAUUUAUCAGUUCUACCUCCAUCAUGUCUAGAUUGCUGUUGAAUAUCUUUAAUAUAUCAAAACCUGCAAGGUGCUAGACAUACAAGAAAAAAUCCAAAUCUGUUGUUCUCCUUGUCUUGGAGCUGACCCUUUCCAGCAGAUGAUAUCACCUCUAAGAGAUGGGAGUCUCACUGUUUUGCCCAAGCUGGUCUUGAAUUCCUGGCCUCAAGUGUUCCUCCCGCCUCAGACUCGCAAAGUGCUGGGAUUACAGGCAGAAGUCACUGCUCCAGGCCACAUUAUUUUUAUGAUUAUUAUGAUUAAUACUUUUAAAUAGUUGUACUUUGGGUUCUUGGGAACCCAGAGAAAUAACAUUCUUCACAAAGUUAGUUCAAAGGAUUUUUUAAAGCUUAGUGCUACCGUUCUAAAUGACUUUUUAAAAGAAAAGCAUUCAGUAUUUUAAGAAACAUAUAAAUUGAAUUUUGUGAUUAUCUGAAUCGGUGUUUUAGUUAGCAAUGUAAUGAGAGUAAAAGUAACUAAACAUUAAACUUUCUAAUAGAUUUCAGUUCAAUACUAAUACUACAGGGUUGAUGCUUGCAUUUCUUAGAAAGAGCAGGAAAAUAAAUAUAUAUGUAUAUUUAAUUAUAAACAGAAGGCAGAGUUAGUUUACAACAUUUAAAAAAAAUCUAGAUUGCAUACUUUAAUUUUCACCAUGCAAAAAGUUGGAACUUGUAACUUCCAAUGAGUCAAUCUUUGGCUAUUUUUCACAAUCCACAAGUCCAUGGUUUUUCUAUAAAAUAAGCACUAGUAAUAAAAAUCACAGGACACUAUUUAAUAUGUUUGGUUGUAUUAUAAUAUUGAGAAUAAUUGGAGGAUAAAAUACUUUCUUUUAAAACAUCACCUUUUCAGUGUCUGUUUCAAAAAUAUAGAAUAAAUUUAAUUUUUAAAAUUCUCUAAGUUUUCUAUAACAUCUUGAAAUCAUUUGUGAUACUGUGAUGCCACAAUACCAGAGUGCCCCAGACUAAAAUAAAACAAAACAAUCAAAUAUACAAACAUAAAAAUAAAACCAGCCAAGUACAUAUGGGUGAAUAUGGUAUUUUUAUAGCAUUAAUUUAUGGGGUAGUUAGACAUUUCUUUUCUUUUUGCCAUUCGUGGGGUGUGAGUGAAUUAUAGAUGAUAUAAGAAUGUUGGUAUAUUGAUAAUCAUUGAAUCUGGAUGAUGGUAUGUGGAGGUUCAUUAUGCAAUUCUGUCAACUUUUUCUACAUUUGAAAUUUUCCAUAAUGAAAGUUGAAAAAAAAAACAGAAACAAAACAAACAAAUGAAAAACACCAUGAAGUGAAAAGACAAGCCACAAGGUAGAUGAAUGUUUUUGCAAUAAGAAUCACUAAAACAAGAUUAGUAUGCACAGAAAGAUUCGUAUGUAGACUAUUUAAAGAACUGCCAUAAAUCAACAAGA